rnacentral:rRNA from 1 species
GACGAACGCUGGCGGCGUGCCUAAUACAUGCAAGUCGAGCGCUGAAGGUUGGUACUUGUACCAACUGGAUGAGCAGCGAACGGGUGAGUAACGCGUGGGGAAUCUGCUUUUGAGCGGGGGACAACAUUUGGAAACGAAUGCUAAUACCGCAUAAAAACUUUAAACACAAGUUUUAAGUUUGAAAGAUGCAAUUGCAUCACUCAAAGAUGAUUCCGCGGUGUAUUAGUUAGUUGGUGAGGUAAAGGCGCACCAAGGCGAUGAUACAUAGCCGACCUGCGAGGGUGGUCGGCCACAUUGGGACGGAGACACGGCCCAAACUCCUACGGGAAGGAGCAGGAGGGAAACUUCGGCAAUGGGCGAAAGUCUGACCGAGCAACGCCGCGUGAGGGAAGAAGGUUUUCGGGUCGUAAAACUCUGUUUGUAGGGAAGAACGUGGGUGAGAGUGGAAAGCUCAUCAAGUGACGGUAACUACCCAGAAAGGGACGGCUAACUACGUG